GUCAAACGUUGUCUUCUCCUUUCUACUGCGCCAUGGAUUUUGUUGGAUGCAAGCGGCGGUGUGCUCCCAACACCAUCAGACCAUGAAUUCUAGGCAUGACAAAAGUUAUACGUGGCUAUGAACUGGUUCUUUGCCCAUGUGCAUCGAAACAUUGUCAUCUUGUGCUUCUUCUUCCUGACACUCCAAAGUUCUUACCAACUCACAGCUGUUUUUGCUUGUUUUCAUCGCUCGCCUGUGGCUGUUUGACUUAUCUACAUUCAAAUAAAAUUUCUUUGGCCCAAGAUUA